UGCUUGCGGCUGCUAUACAUGCAGUCGGACGGGAUCCGUAUGGUAGCUUGCUACCAAUGGUGAGAGUGGCGCACGGGUGCGUAACGCGUGAGCAACCUACCUCUAUCAGGGGGAUAGCCUCUCGAAAGAGAGAUUAACACCGCAUAACAUCAACAGUUCGCAUGUUCGGUUGAUUAAAUAUUUAUAGGAUAGAGAUGGGCUCGCGUGACAUUAGCUAGUUGGUAGGGUAACGGCUUACCAAGGCGACGAUGUCUAGGGGCUCUGAGAGGAGAAUCCCCCACACUGGUACUGAGACACGGACCAGACUCCUACGGGAGGCAGCAGUAAGGAAUAUUGGUCAAUGGGCGGAAGCCUGAACCAGCCAUGCCGCGUGCAGGAUGACUGCCCUAUGGGUUGUAAACUGCUUUUGUCCAGGAAUAACCCCAGAUACGUGUAUCUGGCUGAAUGUACUGGAAGAAUAAGGAUCGGCUAACUCCGUGCCAGCAGCCGCGGUAAUACGGAGGAUCCGAGCGUUAUCCGGAUUUAUUGGGUUUAAAGGGUGCGUAGGCGGCCUAUUAAGUCAGGGGUGAAAUACGGUGGCUCAACCAUCGCAGUGCCUUUGAUACUGAUGGGCUUGAAUCCAUUUGAAGUGGGCGGAAUAAGACAAGUAGCGGUGAAAUGCAUAGAUAUGUCUUAGAACUCCGAUUGCGAAGGCAGCUCACUAAGCUGGUAUUGACGCUGAUGCACGAAAGCGUGGGGAUCGAACAGGAUUAGAUACCCUGGUAGUCCACGCCCUAAACGAUGAUAACUCGAUGUUGGCGAUAGACAGCCAGCGUCCCAGCGAAAGCGUUAAGUUAUCCACCUGGGGAGUACGCCCGCAAGGGUGAAACUCAAGGAAUUGACGGGGGCCCGCACAAGCGGAGGAGCAUGUGGUUUAAUUCGAUGAUACGCGAGGAACCUUACCCGGGCUUGAAAGUUA
rnacentral:rRNA from 1 species